UCCCCAGUGGCUCAGUGGUAAAGAAUCUGUCUGCAAUGCAGGAGACACAGGUUCAAUCCCUGGGUGGGAAA
rnacentral:tRNA from 1 species